CAAAGUAUAGUUUAUUAAAAUAUUAGUUUUGGGAAUUAAAGAUGCCUGUGUUAUGAUUAGGUUACUUUGA
rnacentral:tRNA from 1 species